rnacentral:miRNA from 1 species
CGUGAGCCCUCAUGGCAUUCAU